rnacentral:rRNA from 1 species
GACGAACGCUGGCGGCGUGCUUAACACAUGCAAGUCGAACGGAAAGGCCCUGCUUUUGUGGGGUGCUCGAGUGGCGAACGGGUGAGUAACACGUGAGUAACCUGCCCUUGACUUUGGGAUAACUUCAGGAAACUGGGGCUAAUACCGGAUAGGAGCUCCUGCUGCAUGGUGGGGGUUGGAAAGUUUCGGCGGUUGGGGAUGGACUCGCGGCUUAUCAGCUUGUUGGUGGGGUAGUGGCUUACCAAGGCUUUGACGGGUAGCCGGCCUGAGAGGGUGACCGGACACAUUGGGAAUGAGAUACGGCCAAGACUCCUACGGGAGGCAGCAGUGGGGAAUAUUGCACAAUGGGCGGAAGCCUGAUGCAGCAACGCCGCGUGCGGGAUGACGGACUUCGGGUUGUAAACCGCUUUCGCCUGUGACGAAGCGUGAGUGACGGUAAUGGGUAAAGAAGCACCGGCUAACUACGUG